GAUGAACGCUGGCGGCGUGCCUAAUACAUGCAAGUCGAGCGAACAGACGAGGAGCUUGCUCCUCUGACGUUAGCGGCGGACGGGUGAGUAACACGUGGAUAACCUACCUAUAAGACUGGGAUAACUUCGGGAAACCGGAGCUAAUACCGGAUAAUAUAUUGAACCGCAUGGUUCAAUAGUGAAAGACGGUUUUGCUGUCACUUAUAGAUGGAUCCGCGCCGCAUUAGCUAGUUGGUAAGGUAACGGCUUACCAAGGCAACGAUGCGUAGCCGACCUGAGAGGGUGAUCGGCCACACUGGAACUGAGACACGGACAAGACUACUACGGGAGGCAGCAGUAGGGAAUCUUCCGCAAUGGGCGAAAGCCUGACGGAGCAACGCCACGUGAGUGAUGAAGGUCUUCGGAUCGUAAAACUCUGUUAUUAGGGAAGAACAAAUGUGUAAGUAACUAUGCACGUCUUGACGGUACCUAAUCAGAAAGCCACGGCUAACUACGUG
rnacentral:rRNA from 1 species